rnacentral:rRNA from 1 species
UAUCAAAACUUUCAACAACGGAUCUCUUGGUUCUCGCAACGAUGAAGAACGCAGCGAAUUGCGAUAAGUAUUGUGAAUUGCAGAUUUUCGUGAAUCAUCGAAUCUUUGAACGCACAUUGCGCCCUGUGGUAUUCCACAGGGCAUGCCU